rnacentral:rRNA from 1 species
GACAGAGGUGCCAAGCGUUAGGCGGAAUCACUGGGCUCAAAGCGUGUGUAGGUGGAUUUGUAAGUACCUUGUGAAAUCCCAUGGCUCAACCAUGGAACUGCUCGGUAUACUGCGAAUCUUGAGCCACUUAGGGGCUACCGGAACAAAUGGUGGAGCGGUGAAAUGCGUAGAUAUCAUUUGGAACGCCAAUGGUGAAAACAGGUAGCUGGGAGUGUGCUGACACUGAGACACGAAAGCCAGGGGAGCGAACAGG